UGUGUGCAUGAGUGUCGUGUCAUGGGAAUCCAGCAGCUCUGAUCUGGGAGAACAACAUCCUGUGUUGAAGAGCAGAUGGAAAGGCAGCAGCCUGGAGGAUGUGAGCAGAACAGCUUCCUGUGUGCAACCAGCAAGCCUCCAAAAAGGUUAGCAAGGAAACAUGCUCCAGGAUGUCUGCGUCUUCUCCUGAGGUGUAACGUGCCUGAGCAAGGUGUCUGCUGGGCUUCUUGAAAUUUCUCCUUUGCCUUGCCUGCUGAUCUUGCUUUCUGACCAGAUGUCAAGACAAACAACUUGCAAAUGUGUUUUCUUCCUCUCAUGGAACCAAGAACAUAUGUGAUCCCUGGCAGAUGAUUUUUGCAACUCUUAAAGUCAGGAUUGGAGAAGGCUGACUCACAAUUUCUUACACUGCACGUGUGAAAUCUUUCAAGAAAACUUGAAGGGGGGAAAGAUCUACAGUAUUUUGGAUGAUGUUUUCAAUUGCUAUGAAAUUGGUAAAAAAAAAAAAAAAAAGAAUCGAU